GUGCCAAGAUGCCCUGGCACCGCAGCCCCUGCCUUACCACACCGCUCUUCGGAGGGAGGGGCAGGCAGGCAGUGCCACAGGAGCCGGGUCCCAAGAAUAACUCUGCAGAUCUUGGCUUCCCAGCCUCAGGAUUGUCCCCAGGGACCAGGACAAAGGGCUUGGUCCUAUUGGCUUGUCUCCAUGGCGCCUCCCUUCUUCUUCUUCCCAGGUGAAUGGAUCAGCUCAGUUAGACCCAAGAGAGCCUCAUGCUUGUCCUAGACCUCAUUUUCCCGACCCAGUGGCAUUCCAGCCACACCUGCUGAGGCCUUGGGUACCUGCGCAUCAGAGUAGCAGCUCCUCCAGCUGGCAGAGAAAGACUUGAUUUGCCACAGUUAGCGCGGCCCACUGUGGAAGCAAUCCAGGGUUCGCUCACCACCCAGCCAUGCCAGCUGAUGCUGUUUUGAUUCCCCUAACCAGGGGCAGUCACUUUUCUAGAACUUUCUGUGUCAUGAACCCUCAAGGGAGGCAGCUAAUGCAACCCUUUCCCAAAGGGCCCUCUCCUAAUACCUGCAAAUUAUAAGGACACUAUUUGACUUGAUAUUAUUUCUGGAGGAAAAUAAAAGUCAAUAAAGGCACAUAAACUGC